rnacentral:rRNA from 1 species
UACAGAGGGGGCAAGCGUUGUUCGGAAUUACUGGGCGUAAAGGGCGCGUAGGCGGCCAGGUAGGUCAGCUGUGAAAACUCGAGGCUCAACCUCGAGACGUCGGUUGAAACCACCUGGCUAGAGUCCGGAAGAGGAGAGUGGAAUUCCUGGUGUAGCGGUGAAAUGCGCAGAUAUCAGGAGGAACACCGAUGGCGAAGGCAGGUCUCUGGGCCACUACUGACGCUGAGAAGCGAAAGCGUGGGGAGCGAACAGG